UUUCUACAACGUUUUUUUAAAACUUUCUCACGCCCUCAAUCUUUUCCACUCUCGCACUUCUCUCUCUUGAGAGCCCUUUCUCUGUAUCUUCCUCCAAAGUUCCAACGACACUACACACAAGCUCACUCGUGUCGCAGCUUCGCAUUGCAGCGCAGUUCCGUUCUCGUCACACCCUGAAUCCGUGACCCAACACUCGCGCAUAACACCUUGGUCCUUCAUUCUUGCGCGCUGAACCCUAAAUCCGUGACUCUGUCAGUGUCGUCCUUGCUUGCACUAAGUCAAAUUCAUGUGCUACUGACCUUGCACUUCACUUUCGCAUCCCUUCCUCUCUCGUGCACCAAGUCUAAUUUAUGGGCCCAUGGUUUUGAUGUGGAGCAUUCUAACUUCAAUUUUGGUUCUCUCAUGGGGUAUGAGCAUUGGGUGUUGGUUCCACAUUGUCUUUUUUCUGUUGGUAAAGGAAUGCUUCUUAUGCUAGCUGUCUUAGAUUUCUUGUCUGCAACGAGCAUUUCGUCAAACAGAAGAGGGGUACAUGGCCCUUGUGUCAGGCUCGUGGAAUGCUCGACCUCAAAUUGUAAGUGCUGAGACUUGUUGUCUAGUUGGAGUGAUAUUUCAAUAGACACUCUUUGCGGCAAAUGUUGGAGAUUCUCGUGUUGUAUUGGGCAAGAAAGUUGGCAACACUCGAGGUAUAGCUGCAAUUCAUCUGUUUGCAGAACAUAAUGCAAAUUUUGAGGCUGUUAGAUAGGAAGUUAAAGAAUUACACCCUCAUGAUCCCCAAAUUGUUGUCCUCAAACAUGGAGUGUGGAGAGUAAAAGGCAUUAUUCAGGUAAUUUAUAUACUUGUGUCCUCUCAGAAGUCAGAACCUCUCAUCUUGCACAUAUGAAAAACAGUUAUAGCGUGAACAUGGCCAAACAUUUAUUAAUUCAUUAUAUUCUCUAUUGUUUUCCAUUCUUGAAAGUGCUAUGUGGAAGAGACGUAGAUAUUGAUGCUGAAAGGUGUUGGAAGCUAUUUAAACUGUGCCCUGAAAGGCCAUUUUUCUGUUAGUUAAAAUUGAAUGCUA